rnacentral:tRNA from 1 species
GGGCGCGUGGCAGGAAAUGCCACACUUUGCGCUAUGGUGCAAAGUUCGGGGUUCGACUCCCCGAGUGCCCGC